rnacentral:rRNA from 4 species
AAACGACUCUCGGCAACGGAUAUCUCGGCUCUCGCAUCGAUGAAGAACGUAGCGAAAUGCGAUACUUGGUGUGAAUUGCAGAAUCCCGUGAACCAUCGAGUCUUUGAACGCAAGUUGCGCCCGAAGCCAUUAGGUCGAGGGCACGCCUGCCUGGGCGUCACG